rnacentral:rRNA from 1 species
CUACGGGUGGCUCCAGUGAGGAAUUUUGCGCAAUGGGGGAAACCCUGACGCAGCAACGCCGCGUGAGCGAAGAAGGCCCUCGGGUCGUAAAGCUCUGUCAAGUGGGAAAAAAAUUUUUUGAUCAAUAGUCAAAAGACUUGAUGGUACCACUGGAGGAAGCACCGGCUAACUCCGUGCCAGCAGCCGCGGUAAUACGGAGGGUGCAAGCGUUGUUCGGAUUUACUGGGCGUAAAGAGCGUGUAGGCGGUUUAGCAAGUCAGAUGUGAAAGCCCUGGGCUCAACCCGGGAAGUGCAUUUGAAACUGCUUCACUUGAGUAUGGGAGAGGAGAUUGGAAUUCCUGGUGUAGAGGUGAAAUUCGUAGAUAUCAGGAGGAACACCCGUGGCGAAGGCGAUUCUCUGGACCAAUACUGACGCUGAGACGCGAAAGCGUGGGGAGCAAACAGGAUUAGAUACCCGAGUAGUC